rnacentral:rRNA from 16 species
GUUUUCGACAUCGUUACUUUGAAGAAAUUAGAGUGCUCAAAGCAAGCCAUCGCUCUGGAUACAUUAGCAUGGGAUAACCUCAUAGGAUUCCGGUCCUAUUGCGUUGUCCUUCGGGAUCGGAGUAAUGAUUAAUAGGGACAGUUGGGGGCAUUCGUAUUUCAUAGUCAGAGGUGAACCAUUGCCACCAUUGCCACCAUUGCCAUCAUUGCCACCAUU